GGUUACUGCUAUCGGUGUUCGCCUAAGCCAUGCGAGUCAUAUGUUCGUAAGAACAUGGCGUACUGCUCAGUAACACGUGGAUAACCUGCCCUUGGGUCCGGCAUAACCCCGGGAAACUGGGGAUAAUUCCGGAUAACGCACAUAUGCUGGAAUGCUUUAUGCGUAAAAUGGAUUCGUCUGCCCAAGGAUGGGUCUGCGGCCUAUCAGGUAGUAGUGGGUGUAAUGUACCUACUAGCCUACGACGGGUACGGGUUGUGAGAGCAAGAGCCCGGAGAUGGAUUCUGAGACAUGAAUCCAGGCCCUACGGGGCGCAGCAGGCGCGAAAACUUUACAAUGCGGGAAACCGUGAUAAGGGGACACCGAGGCCAGCAUCCUAUGCUGGCUGUCCGGGUGUGUAAAAUACACCUGUUAGCAAGGGCCGGGCAAGACCGGUGCCAGCCGCCGCGGUAACACCGGCGGCCCGAGUGGUGAUCGUGAUUAUUGGGUCUAAAGGGUCCGUAGCCGGUUUGGUCAGUCCUCCGGGAAAUCUGACAACUUAACUGUUAGGCUUUCGGAGGAUACUGCCAGACUUGGAACCGGGAGAGGA
rnacentral:rRNA from 1 species